GAUGGAAGAACGCAGCGAAAUGCGAUAAGUAAUGUGAAUUGCAGAAUUCAGUGAAUCAUCGAAUCUUUGAACGCACAUUGCGCCCGCUAGUAUUCUGGCGGGCAUGCCUGUCCGAGCGUCAUUUCAACCCUCAAGCCCCCGGGCUUGGUGUUGGGGAUCGGCGAGCCUCCGCGCCCGCCGUCCCCUAAAUCUAGUGGCGGUCUCGCUGUAGCUUCCUCUGCGUAGUAGCACACCUCGCACUGGGAAACAGCGCGGCCACGCCGUUAAACCCCCAACUUCUGAACGUUUGACCUCGGAUCAGGUAGGAAUACCCGCUGAACUUAAGCAUAUCAAUAAGCGGAGGA
rnacentral:misc_RNA from 1 species